CAGCCGCCGCGGUAAUACGGAGGGUGCAAGCGUUGUUCGGAAUUACUGGGCGUAAAGGGCGUGUAGGCGGUUGUGUAUGUCAGAUGUGAAAUCCUCCGGCUUAACUGGAGAACUGCAUCUGAAACUGCAUGGCUAGAGUACAGGAGAGGGAACCGGAAUUCCCGGUGUAGAGGUGAAAUUCGUAGAUAUCGGGAGGAACACCAGUGGCGAAGGCGGUUUCCUGGCCUGAUACUGACGCUGAGGCGCGAAAGCAUGGGGAGCAAACAGGAUUAGAUACCCUGGUAGUCCAUGCCAUAAACGGUGAACACUAGGUGUGGGAGGUGUAAUACCUUCUGUGCCGAAGCUAACGCGUUAAGUGUUCCGCCUGGGAAGUACGGCCGCAAGGUUGAAACUUAAAGGAAUUGGCGGG
rnacentral:rRNA from 1 species